AUGUGUGCUAUGCAUGUUCAUGGCAUGAUCAAGAUGGUUUUUGCAUGGUACAAGUGGAUUGCCCUAGAUUUGUCAAAAAGUAAUUGCAAUGGUAUGAUAUUUGGCUUAGUUCAAACAUGGUGGAAGAAGGUAGCGUAUUACAAGGGUUUGAGGCAUAAAACUUGUCAUGGAAGGAAGCAUGAAGUUUAG